AGGACUAACGCUGGCGGCGUGCCUAACACAUGCAAGUCGAACGAGGUAGCAAUACCUAGUGGCAGACGGGUGAGUAACGCGUGGUCAACCUACCUCUUAGUGGGGGAUAACUAGCCGAAAGGUUAGCUAAUACCGCAUACGAUCGUCGCGAGGCAUCUCGUGACGAUGAAAGGAGCAAUUCGCUAAGAGAGGGGACUGCGUCCCAUUAGUUAGUUGGUGGGGUAAUGGCCCACCAAGACUCCGAUGGGUAGCUGGCUUGAGAGAGCGACCAGCCACACUGGAACUGAGACACGGUCCAGACUCCUACGGGAGGCAGCAGUGAGGAAUUUUCCGCAAUGGGCGCAAGCCUGACGGAGCGACGCCGCGUGUGGGAAGAAGGCCUUCGGGUCGUAACCACUGUCGAAGGGGACGAUAUUGACGGUACCCUUGGAGGAAGCCCGGCUAACUACGUGCCAGCAGCCGC
rnacentral:rRNA from 1 species